UUGAAACAUCAUUUCCUAUAUGAUUACUGAAGUCAAGCAACAUUGAGCCUGAUUAGUACUUAGAUGGGUGAGCAUUUGGGAAUACCAGGUACUGUAAG